rnacentral:rRNA from 1 species
UGGGGAAUUUUGGACAAUGGGCGAAAGCCUGAUCCAGCAAUGCCGCGUGUGUGAAGAAGGCCUUCGGGUUGUAAAGCACUUUUGUCCGGAAAGAAAUCCUUGGCUCUAAUACAGUCGGGGGAUGACGGUACCGGAAGAAUAAGCACCGGCUAACUACGUGCCAGCAGCCGCGGUAAUACGUAGGGUGCAAGCGUUAAUCGGAAUUACUGGGCGUAAAGCGUGCGCAGGCGGUUUGCUAAGACCGAUGUGAAAUCCCCGGGCUCAACCUGGGAACUGCAUUGGUGACUGGCAGGCUAGAGUAUGGCAGAGGGGGGUAGAAUUCCACGUGUAGCAGUGAAAUGCGUAGAGAUGUGGAGGAAUACCGAUGGCGAAGGCAGCCCCCUGGGCCAAUACUGACGCUCAUGCACGAAAGCGUGGGGAGCAAACAGGAUUAGAUACCCUGGUAGUCCACGCCCUAAACGAUGUCAACUAGUUGUUGGGGAUUCAUUUCCUUAGUAACGUAGCUAACGCGUGAAGUUGACCGCCUGGGGAGUACGGUCGCAAGAUUAAAACUCAAGUGAAUUGACGGGGUCAUAGCUGUUUCCU